AUACGUAGGUGGCGAGCGUUAUCCGGAAUUACUGGGUGUAAAGGGCGCGCAGGCGGGGAUGCAAGUCAGAUGUGAAAUACCGGUGCUUAACACCGGGGCUGCAUCUGAAACUGUGUUUCUUGAGUGUCGGAGAGGGAAGCGGAAUUCCCAGUGUAGCGGUGAAAUGCGUAGAGAUUGGGAGGAACACCAGUGGCGAAGGCGGCUUUCUGGACGACAACUGACGCUGAGGCGCGAAAGCGUGGGGAGCAAACAGGAUUAGAUACCCUGGUAGUCCACGCCGUAAACGAUGGAUACUAGGUGUAGGAGGUAUCGACCCCUUCUGUGCCGGAGUUAACACAAUAAGUAUCCCACCUGGGGAGUACGGCCGCAAGGUUGAA
rnacentral:rRNA from 1 species